ensembl:lncRNA
AAUGGCGUGCAGCAGCAUAAUCACAGCAGCACACUGGCACGUUGGAAAGUGAAAUUAUAUACAUGCUAAAAUGUGUGUAUGGGGUGUGAUUGCAGAGUGAGCGAGGAGUUGGUGUGGCAGCACAGAGGGAAAGAUUAGAUUUCAGCGUGGCGUGUUCCGCUGGCUCCGCAGACUUCUCAGAACAAAGGGGGCCUGAGCUUAAGAUGAUGGACACAAAUCCUUACCCCCGGCUCUAGGAAAUCGUCAACCGUCAAUCAAUUACAGCAGAUGACGGACACAGGAUGAGAGAAUGGCCCCCUACUGC